rnacentral:rRNA from 1 species
GACCUCGGAUCAGGUAGGAUACCCCUGACUAGU